rnacentral:rRNA from 1 species
CAGUAGCCGCGGGAAUACAGAGGGUGCAAGCGUUAAUCGGAAUUACUGGGCGUAAAGCGCGCGUAGGUGGUUUGUUAAGUUGGAUGUGAAAUCCCCGGGCUCAACCUGGGAACUGCAUCCAAAACUGGCAAGCUAGAGUAUGGUAGAGGGUGGUGGAAUUUCCUGUGUAGCGGUGAAAUGCGUAGAUAUAGGAAGGAACACCAGUGGCGAAUGCGACCACCUGGACUGAUACUGACACUGAGGUGCGAAAGCGUGGGGAGCAAACAGGAUUAGAUACCCCGGUAGUCCCUGUCUCUUAUAC